UGGGGAAUUUUGGACAAUGGGCGAAAGCCUGAUCCAGCAAUGCCGCGUGUGUGAAGAAGGCCUUCGGGUUGUAAAGCACUUUUGUCCGGAAAGAAAUCCUUGGCUCUAAUACAGUCGGGGGAUGACGGUACCGGAAGAAUAAGCACCGGCUAACUACGUGCCAGCAGCCGCGGUAAUACGUAGGGUGCAAGCGUUAAUCGGAAUUACUGGGCGUAAAGCGUGCGCAGGCGGUUUGCUAAGACCGAUGUGAAAUCCCCGGGCUCAACCUGGGAACUGCAUUGGUGACUGGCAGGCUAGAGUAUGGCAGAGGGGGGUAGAAUUCCACGUGUAGCAGUGAAAUGCGUAGAGAUGUGGAGGAAUACCGAUGGCGAAGGCAGCCCCCUGGGCCAAUACUGACGCUCAUGCACGAAAAGCGUGGGGAGCAAAACAGGAUUAGAUACCCUGGUAGUCCACGCCCUAAACGAUGUCAACUAGUUGUUGGGGAUUCAUUUCCUUAGUAACGUAGCUAACGCGUGAAGUUGACCGCCUGGGGAGUACGGUCGCAAGAUUAAAACUUAAAUGAAUUGACGGGGUCAUAGCUGUUUCCU
rnacentral:rRNA from 1 species